AGCAGCCGCGGUAAUUCCAGCUCCAAUAGCGUAUAUUAAAGUUGUUGCAGUUAAAAAGCUCGUAGUUGAAUUUCGGGGUUAGUAGGUUGGUCAUGCCUCCGGUAUGUACUGGUCUCACUGAUUCCUCCUUCCUUAUGAACCGUAAUGCCAUUAAUUUGGUGUUGCGGGGAAUUUGGACUGUUACUUUGAAAAAUUAGAGUGUUUAAAGCAAGCUAACGCUUGAAUACAUUAGCAUGGAAUAAUGAAAUAGGACGUUCGAUCUUAUUUUGUUGGUUUCUAGGAUUGACGUAAUGAUUAAUAGGGAUAGUUGGGGGCAUUAGUAUUCAAUUGUCAGAGGUGAAAUUCUUGGAUUUAUUGAAGACUAACUACUGCGAAAGCAUUUGCCAAGGAUGUUUUCAUUAAUCAAGAACGAAAGUUAGGGGAUCGAAGACGAUCAGAUACCGUCGUAGUCUUAACCAUAAACUAUGCGACUAGGGAUCGGAUGAUGUUAAUUUUUUAAUGGUCUCA
rnacentral:rRNA from 1 species